CCCCAACCUGGACCCCAUCCAAUAGGCUCGUGGUCCCUGAUGGUCCUGGACCACUGAUUUGAGGCCUUUCUGCUUCCUUUGAUUCAGUCUUUGGCAGAGACCCAGGAGCAGGAGUCCUUGAUGGCACCUGGCCCUUUCUAGUCACCGACAAGGGAAACCUGAGAAACCAUUCUCAGAAAUGGAACUAAAUUGACACAGCAUUUGUCUCCUCCAGAGGAUACAGCACCAAGGCGCCAUCUUGGAAGUAGACUGGAGCUCUUAGCAGACCAGAACCUGUGGGUGUGUUGAUCUUGUACUUCCUGACCUCCAGAACUGCAUAUUAUGAAUAUUCAGUGAAACAACGUGUGUGCUCACCAGGCAGGAAGAGCUCAGCAAAUGGUGGCUGGUCUGGAAAUUAUUGUCAUCACUAUAAUCCUCAUCGACAUCCUCAGCCUUAUUGUCAUCAUCAUCAACCUCAUCAGUGUCAUCAUCAGCCUCAUCAACGUCAUCAUCAGCCUCAUCACUGUCAUCAUCAGCCCUUUGUCAUCAUCAUCAUCCACCUUGCUGUUCUCUUCCUUGUUGACAUCAUUAUCCUCAUCCUCCUCAUCACCAUCAACAGCAUUAUUUUUAUUUUUUAUUCUUCCACCUGUAAGAGUUUCUUUUCCUCCCUCUUAUUGUUUUCCUCUUGGGAUGACUAGUGGUGAAGGAAGUGUCAGAGGCAAUGACCUCACAGCUGUCGUUGCCAUGGGUGACACCUCCCAGAAAGAGCUUAUUGGAACUUUCAGUCCAGGGGAGUUUCUGCUGUUCCAGGAUGGAGGAAAUGUUCAAGAACUGUGGAGCAUCUGAGAUUUUUUUCCUACUUUUGAUGUCCACCUAGUCAAAGUUCAGCCCUCCAGGAUCUACAGGUGACCAAGAGCCUGCUGUCUGGUUAUGGAAGGUCUCAGCUUUGGUUGUGUCAGUGAAUGAAGACCAGGACAGUCACAGUUGUAUGAGGAGGCUGGGGGCAUCCCUUACAGUCCCUUUGAGGGAGGUGCAGUCCUUGUAGCUGGAUGACCAUAGAGAACCAGCUUCUCUGCUGAACCAG
rnacentral:lncRNA from 1 species